rnacentral:lncRNA from 1 species
UAGAAAUACAUGAUUUCUACAACCGGUUUCGCUAGGAGAACCGCCAGUGAAAAUGGAUUCUGGCGAUUCUUGAGUCGGGCCGCCGAUUUAUUUUCAUAGGCAUUUUUUAAUUAAAACCGCCCCUAAAAAAAUCCACCGCCAACUUAGAGCUUUUGUUUACUAAUGUAAUGGAUAUAAAUUGGGCCUCACUUUAAGACAAAAUGUCUUUUUUUAAAAGAUCAAGACAGAAGACAAAGUUUCUUACUGUUUAUAUUCCACUUGAUUCAUCAUCUUAUUUUCCUCCACCUUGUUGCGAUCGAUGCAACUUGUAGCCCAUUUGAAAUGCGGAUUUUUUUCCAAAAAAAACACACAUAUCGAUAGCAAUAAAUUUAAUAUAAAAAAGCAUAGGAAUUAAAAAAAACGUAUUCCAAACUUAGCAUCUCGCCACUAGCCAGCUUUCCAUGCCUCCCUUAGCUUGAGCCGUCACCGCUCAGCGCUCACUGAAAUAUUUACUAGAUGGUGUCAAAUAUUUAGCUGCUAAUAAUUACUUUUUCUAUCUAAUAAACGGGACAACUAAUAGUCUAGCUAAUGGCAGCUAAUAUUAUUAGCUAUGAGCUAUUAUUUAGUUUUUUUACAUGAUAGUAUUCGGCUGAUGAAGCUUAGAUCCUAUUUUGAUUCAUAAAGCUAAUAGUUAGCUACUAAUAACUAUUUUUUUAUGUAAACGGAUCCAACUAACAAUAUUUUAGCUAAUUAAUAGCUAGACAUUUAACUAGUCAUCUCACUUGUUAGACCAAACCUGCUAAUAUUAUCUAUGAGCUGUUGACUAGCUAACUAAUAGCUAAUGGAUAUAAAUAGAACGUUACUUUAAGACAAAAUGUCUUUUUUUUAAGAUCAAGACAAAACACAAAAUCUCUUGCUGUUUACAUUCCACCUAAUUCGCCUUCGUAUUUCUUCUACCUUGUUACAAUAGAUGCAACUUGUAGAGCCCAUUUGAAAUACGGAAAUUUUACAAAAAAAAAAAAACCACAUGUAGAUAGCAAUCAAUGAGGACUCCUUUAGAACACAGGAAUUUUAUAUGAUUUGUACAGGAUUUUCACAGAAAAACAUAGAAAACAAAAAAAAUCCUAUGUUCCAAAGGGGAUCUUAAAUAUAGAAAAACAUAGAAAUAAAAAAAAUCCCAUAUUCCAAACUUAGUCAUAUGAUUUCACCACUACCUAGCUUUCCAUGCCUCCCUUGAGCCGCCAACCCUCAAUGAAAUAUUAACUAGAUGGUGUCAAAUAAAAGGCGAUAUACAUGAUGCAUGCAUUGUUAACUUGAUUAGUCUACACGAUAUAUAAUUAAACUUUACUCGUAAUACGAUAAAAAUCGCACGUUGCCGUUCCACGAGAUCGAUCGGUCAAACAACAAACCUAAACCUUUUAGCCCACCUUUGGGUCUCUUACAAGCAAGCAAGCAAUAUUGUAGGGAAAAAAUAGAAUGCUGGAUCUAUAUAUACAUACACCUACAACUGCUUUAAUUAGGCCUUGUUUAGGCUUCAAAAUUUCAAAAGUUUACGAGAAUCCCCAUCACAUCGAAUCUUUAGAGACAUAUAUGAAACAUUAAAUAUAGAUAAAAAAUAACUAAUUACAUAAUUUGUCUGUAAAUCGAGAAAAAUCUUUUGAGCCUAGUUAGUCCACGAUUGGAUACUAAUUACCAAAUACAAACGAAAUGCUACAGUAGUCAAAUUCCAAAAGUUUUUUUUAAUCUAAACAAGGCCUUAGUGACAUCAAGAAGAGGAUCAAGCUCUCACAUUUUCCUUAAUUAACUAUUUUAAUUUAAUUCUCAUCUCGAUCUGGAAGCGCCUCUCAACGCCUGGAUAUAUAGUGGUAGGGCUUAAAAUGCACUAAUGGUUCCUCUCUUUUAAUAUGCCGUUUUCUCCUUUAAUUUGCUUUCAAGUCUACAUCAUCUUUAAUUUCUUCUUGUCAUGCAGGUUAACACAGACUAAAAAAAGAGGGGCGUAUAUUAAGGGAAAACUAAAUUAAGGAGGAUUUGCAAGCUCCAAGCAGGAAGCAAGUGUAUGGUCAGAUAUAUAUGAAGUAUACCUGGGACUGUUUGGCAAAGCUGCCAGAGUUGAUUCUUGGCUAAAUCUAAGAGGAGAUCUACCAAACGUUUUUUUCCUGAGUGAAGUGAUUCAGUGCUGAUUCCAUGGAGUGAUUCUUUAAAAUGAACUAAGGGGCUAGGAGCUGAAAAAGUAGUUUCUCCUAAUUCUAUGAAGUAAUUGUUUAUCAUAAUUUAGAGAGUUUAUCCUAGAGAGAAUUAUACAGAAUCAUUCCAGCUACAUAAUCACUUCUCUCGGAAAAUCAGCUCCUAUAGAACCAGAAUCAAGUGGAUACCAAACAAACCCAUGUACACAUAUGCAUUAUAUGAUAACUCACAUGAUUGAUCAUAUAUAUACCGUGACACGGUGCAUAUAUAUCUUGCAAAGAAGAUACAAACAACAGUAUAUCCAGAGGCUACAUACAUAUAUGCCACACCAGGGCUGCACUGCAUCUGCAUCUAUCUGCAUGCAUCUGCAUACCAGGUAGAUAGUGUGCUAUCUGCUAUCUGUAUCUAUCUCCUUUCUUGGCUGCAUGAUGCACGCACAGACAGCUGGUUGGGGAUAUGUGUGUUGAGUCAUGCAUAGCCUGGCGGAGCACUAGUAGAACAAAAAAAGACAGAAACUGAAGCUUUAAUAGUGCCAGUAAGUAUAGUACUUAUGAGGCAAGAAAACUUCAUGCGUCAACAAUAGCCUCUAAGAGAAAAGGAAACACACAGAAAGGCACUUUUUUCUUUGAGAAAUACAGAUACUACGUACGUACGUGGCAUGCAUGAAACCUUGGUGCGUCAGCAAAGCUUGUGAGGGAAAAAGGAGGAAGAGAUACGUACUCCAAUGCAAAGGCACUUUGAGAAAAAGUACUACAAAAAAAUUAAUUACGUGGCAAAAAAACCUCCAUGCAUGCAUCAAGCCUCUCAGGGAAAAAGGAGCAAGAGAUAUAUACAAAUAAAUAAAGUCAUCAGUUUUAGAAGAUGAGAUGAUGGCCGGACACAGGAUGGAGCACGGCACGGCACGGCAUUGCAAACUAACUGCAAAGCAUCUUGAAGAUGAAGCCCCUCGAUCGAGAAAACCUUUUUUAUAUUAUUCAUUUGUAGUUUUGUGUCGCCCAACGGAUGCACGCACGCAUAUGCACCCCCCUCCGGGCUGCAUGCCCAUAUGGUAGUGUGCAAAUUGAUGAAUGAAGGUAAAAAGAAUUGUCACCAC